UCAUAGGUCACAUUCGAAACAGAGAAUCGGUCUGUCUCACUCACACUCGCUCGCGAUUUUUGGAACACCGAUUUUUUGCAUACAUUUCAGUCAGUGCUGGGCGUGUUGCUCGGCAACACCGUGUCGGGUUCGGUGGUCCUGAUCGUGACGACCUUACUGGCACUGAUAACUGGGAUGCUGAUCUCUUCUUCUGGAAGAAAUCGUCGGAUCCGAGCAGGAAGGUGAAACCGGUAAUACUCAAAGGAUGUUACAGCUCUUUUCUUCUAACAAGUCAUAACCAACAAUGGCUUCAAUGGCAGCAUUUUCUUCUAGCACCUUCUACACCAACCUCAAGUUUUGCACCAAAUCCAACAACAGCAACAGCAACUUGAACUGAAGGGAACUCAUAUUGAGAAGCAAUGAAAUAGCAACAGUUGGUGCUAUCUUCAAUUUCAAUUUCAGGGAGUGUAAGUGGAGGUUGGAGUGUUCCAGCACCAAAAGCAUCUCUUGAGGCUUGGCAAUGAUUGUUAUGAUGUUCUUAAAGGAAAAUAAGAAUGUUGCUGCUUUGACAACUAAAGCUAAGUAUCAAAAUGUUACAACUUUGCUUAGCCAUGAUUGCAUUGUUCAAAGGAGGCACCAAAAGACUGCUUUUGAAGAGAAAUCUGCUCUAGCUAAGCAUGAGGCUGAACUUUCAAUGUUAAAAAAAAAAAAAAAAGAAGAAAGCUCACUUGAAGAUGUUGAAUAGCUAAAAGGUAGUAACAUAUACAUAUUACGAAAUCACGAUCUAUGCCCCAAAACUUUGAAGUUGGCCAUGAUUUUACACACAUACAAAUACGAAUAAUAUUUUCCUUAUAAUGACUUGGAUGACUUGAUAGCAAGCACCAUCUCCUUAGACUUCUAUUUUAGUUUCUUAUUCAGGGAUAAGCAUUCGGUACGUAUUCAUGUGUAUUUCAAUUUGUCAAUUGUUUAUUAUGCAGUAUUGGAUACGUGUCUUAGUUGUUGAGAGUUUGAAGAGUGUUUAAGCCUAUGGUGUAAAUUAAUUGCUUGCUAUA